CAAGGAAUCUUCGGCAAUGGGCGCAAGCCUGACCGAGCAACGCCGCGUGGAGGACGACGGCCUUCGGGUUGUAAACUCCUUUUGUGGGGGACGAAUCGGACUGUACCCCGCGAAUAAGCCCCGGCUAACUCUGUGCCAGCAGCCGCGGUAAUACAGAGGGGGCAAGCGUUGUCCGGAUUUACUGGGCGUACAGCGCGCGCAGGCGGUUGCGUAUGUGAGCGGUGACAUCCGCGGGCUCAACCCGCGGCGGCCCGCUUACACAGCGCGACUGGAGGCAGGGAGAGGGAUGUGGAAUACCCGGUGGAGCGGUGAAAUGCGUAGAGAUCGGGUGGAACACCAGCGGCGAAGGCGGCAUCCUGGCCUUGUACUGACGCUGAGGCGCGAUAGCGUGGGGAGCAAA
rnacentral:rRNA from 1 species